rnacentral:rRNA from 1 species
AACGCUAGCGGCAGGCCUAACACAUGCAAGUCGAGGGGUAACAGAGAGUGCUUGCACUUUGCUGACGACCGGCGCACGGGUGCGUAACGCGUAUGCAACCUACCUUUUACUGGAGGAUAGUCAAUAGAAAUGUUGAAUAAUACUCCAUACGAUCUUUGAGUGGCAUUACUUAAAGAAGAAAGCUCCGGCGGUAAAAGAUGGGCAUGCGUCCUAUUAGUUAGUUGGUGAGGUAACGGCUCACCAAGACAUCGAUAGGUAGGGGCCCUGAGAGGGGGAUCCCCCACACUGGUACUGAGACACGGACCAGACUCCUACGGGAGGCAGCAGUGAGGAAUAUUGGACAAUGGAGGCAACUCUGAUCCAGCCAUGCCGCGUGCAGGAAGACUGCCCUAUGGGUUGUAAACUGCUUUUAUACAGGAAGAAACCUACUUACGUGUAAGUAGCUGACGGUACUGUAAGAAUAAGGAUCGGCUAACUCCGUGCCAGCAGCCGCGGUAAUACGGAGGAUCCAAGCGUUAUCCGGAAUCAUUGGGUUUAAAGGGUCCGUAGGUGGUCCAUUAAGUCAGAGGUGAAAUCCUAUCGCUCAACGAUAGAACUGCCUUUGAAACUGAUAGACUUGAGUUAUUGUGAAGUAGUUAGAAUAUGUAGUGUAGCGGUGAAAUGCAUAGAUAUUACAUAGAAUACCGAUUGCGAAGGCAGAUUACUAACAAUAUACUGACACUGAGGGACGAAAGCGUGGGUAGCGAACAGGAUUAGAUACCCUGGUAGUCCACGCCGUAAACGAUGGUCACUAGCUGUUUGACCAACAUUGGUUGGUUGAGUGGCUAAGCGAAAGUGAUAAGUGACCCACCUGGGGAGUAC